rnacentral:sRNA from 2 species
UGCCAAGAAUUUUGAAGCGCGACCCUGCACCCCGCCAGGGACCAGGGGAGUCUGUUGACAUCCAUGGAUCGAUACGAUGAUAUCCCGGGGUAGAAGUUUUCUACAGGGCAAUGAGCGAUAUGGCCGUGCACGGGACAUGGCGUCUGGGCAGUGGCAUCGAGCGCAUUCUUUGCAGCUCCACGGCUGCCAUGUGUCAUCGGAUGAGAAAAGCCGCCCAGGAGUGAAAUAACUCUUUCGUCAGUCCACUGACAGUAACUAUGGGGAGGGACGUGAGGGAAACGGAACCAGCAGGCAUCCUGUAUUGUGUGGGUGAAUAAUCUUCAUGCUCACGACUCCACACUGCGCAGCACGCAGCAGUUGGUUAAUUAGCUUAUCUCUCUAUCGAGCUAGUUUAGUUGUCCAAGGAUAUCCCCGUAGUUAUGAUGAUCUGAUUGGCUCAAAUGAUCGAUCACCAAGAUGUGCAGCCAAACCGCAUCUGCUCCGAACUUCUGCCGA